rnacentral:lncRNA from 1 species
UGCAGACCCAUCUUCAGACACCUGCAGAAUCUGCUGCAGUACCACCAGCUGCAGUGGAGGGAGGUCCCCGCCAUGGCAUUCUACUUUGAGCUGUGGAGCUGCCAGGGGCACCACGAGGAUGACACCUGCCCCCAGAAGAUCUUCAGGAAAUACAUCCGCAGCAAACAGCCCAAGAGCAGAGAGCUGGCGCUGCGCGGGCUGAGGAACCUUUAUGCUGGGAGGAUGCAGCUGCUGCUACCCGACGCGCUGCUGUGGCUGCAGGACAUGCGGGCUGACAUCAAACUGCAGGCCAUACAUCUGCUGCAGGACAUUGCGGCACAGCACCCCGCCAGCAUCCGAGGUGUGCUCAGCCAGCUGGCCGUGCAGCUGCUGUCCUGCUUCAAUGAGGUGAGGGACGCGGGGCAGCGGGGAGCAUUCAAGCAGCCCCCGCACCGUGCAGAGCUCAG